rnacentral:lncRNA from 1 species
UUGGCAGGAGGGGCCUGCCUCGAUUUCCAAGGAGCAGCAGCAGAGGCACCUGGGAAAUCAACCUGGUAACAGGGCCAGCCCAGGCCGUGGUGAGGACGGCUCGAGGAAUCUUGUCCCGGGCUGAAGGGAUGCUUCUUGUCCUGGUUACAGCAGAGCACAAUUUUACCAAGGUCCUCGCGGGUGACAAAGCCCCUCUCCUUGGCACCACAGUCCUGGAAGAAGGCCUGCAGUUCUGCCGCUGCCUGAGAGGACCAAGACUCUGGCUCUGGGGCCACUGCAGCGCCUUCACCAUCAGCUGGCUCUCUUGUCUGCCGCCGCCGGUUGGAGCCCAGCUUCCGGACUUUUCGAGAUGUUCUCUGUCCAGUCUCCAUGGUGCGUUGGCCCUGGGGACAGAGGAGUGAGGGGCACCGGGCUGCUGGACAGUCACGCCCUCUCAUGGCUCAAAACCCUCCCCUGGCUCCCAUCACCCUUGGAAGAAAAUCCACUGUGGCUGCCAAAGCCCGGCCUGAUGGUGUCCCGCCGGGUCCUCUGACCUCGUCGCCCAGCCGCCUCAUGGCCUCUCGUCCAUUCUGCUCAACGCCUUUGCCCUUUCUAAGUUCCCUCUACCUGGAAUGCCCUUCUCCAAGCUACCCACCUGCCCUCAUCUCUUCAGGCUACUACUCAACUAUCAAAGUCUUCUCCGACCAUUAGAGAAUAUAUCCUAUUCACCGCACGCAGAAUCUAUCUCGUGUUUUGACCUGGAGGGUGGUUACACAGGGUUUUCCAGGAUCUAGCUGUCUGAAGGGCCAUAAGCAGCUUCUGAGCCAUCUCUCUGAUGACUCUUCUUGCUCAUUAACUCAUCUCAGCUGCGUCAGGGAUCCCUCCACCGACACCUCCUCCCCUGUCAGCCUCACCUCUCCUCCAGCCUUUUCUCUCCAGCACCAUGUCUCUAGUCCUUCGACACACGCAGCAUGGAAUCAGUAGCACCCCUAUGCGGCUCUUAGGGCCCCACGUGACAUGGCCUCAGCUUCAUCCACCCCACCCCUGUGCCCUUGGGGUCCAUGGCAACACCACUGAACCACUCAUGGUUCCUGGAAUUCCUGAUUCCCUCCCACCCUGCUCCCUUUGCCCCAAACUCCUCAACUCUCUCACUCCCUUACAUAGUUAAUACCUUUUGCUUCCUCACCUUACAGGCUGCCUCCUCCAAGAAGCCUUCCCUGCAGUCACCCCUGCAUUCAAGCUGGGCUCAGUGCCCCCUUGUCUGCAACCCUGCUAUGGUUUGAAUGUGUUCCCCAAAGUUCAUGUGUUGGAAACUUGAUCCCCAGUGAAGCAGUGUUGGGCGAUGGGGCCUGAUGGGAAUUGUUUGGGUCAUGGGGGCACCGUCCUCAUGAAUGGAUGAAUGCCAUUAUUGUAAAAAUGAGUUCCUUGUUAAAAGAUGGACUCAGACCCUCGUGCUCCCUGUCGUCCUUCUGCCUUCCACCAUGGGAAGACACCACAAGAAGGCCCACGCCAGAUUCUACCUCCUUAAUCUUGAACUUUCUAG